CUUUUAAACAACAAUUAUUAUCAUUACAGCGAUUGAUGGUGGUUGGAGUGUUUGGACAAACAGUUCAUGUUCUGUUUCAUGUGGUGAAGGAAUUAUGUACAGAACCAGACAAUGCAACAAUCCAACACCAUCUAAUGGUGGAGCUAGUUGCAAUGGUGACUUUACCAACAGUGUCAACUGUACUCAACCAUCCUGUUCUGUUGCUGGUCACCGGUUUGCUUCAUACAGUAAAUCUGAUGUCGUCGUUAAUACUUGUGAUCCUAGUACAUUUCUAGAAACCAUUUUUGUUUCACGGGAAAUGGAUUGUCCUAGAGCGUGUACAGAGAAAGUAAAUUGUAAAAGAUAUCUUUAUUGUGAACUGGAUUCAUCCUGUAAAUUAUAUCAAGAUGGUAGAGAUUGUGUUAUGUCUGAUGACACAACUGGUUGUUCCUGUUUCACAAAGACUAUAGGAUGUGAUAGGUCCGAUUGUACUUGUCCUUUAGGUUACUAUGGAGACCGUUGUCAAUAUACCAUUAUAG